AGUGAACGCUGGCGGUAGGCCUAACACAUGCAAGUCGAACGGCAGCACAGUAAGAGCUUGCUCUUACGGGUGGCGAGUGGCGGACGGGUGAGGAAUACAUCGGAAUCUACUUUUUCGUGGGGGAUAACGUAGGGAAACUUACGCUAAUACCGCAUACGACCUACGGGUGAAAGCAGGGGAUCUUCGGACCUUGCGCGAUUGAAUGAGCCGAUGUCGGAUUAGCUAGUUGGCGGGGUAAAGGCCCACCAAGGCGACGAUCCGUAGCUGGUCUGAGAGGAUGAUCAGCCACACUGGAACUGAGACACGGUCCAGACUCCUACGGGAGGCAGCAGUGGGGAAUAUGGGACAAUGGGCGCAAGCCUGAUCCAGCCAUACCGCGUGGGUGAAGAAGGCCUUCGGGUUGUAAAGCCCUUUUGUUGGGAAAGAAAAGCAGCAGGUUAAGACCCCGCUGUUCUGACGGUACCCAAAGAAUAAGCACCGGCUAACUUCGU
rnacentral:rRNA from 1 species